UUGGGUGGCUGAAUUAGAGAUCGGCGCCUUGUUUUUUUUAUUUAUAAUGUUCUGGAGUUUACUAUGUCUCUAAGCGUUGAAGCUAAAGCUAAAAUCGUUUCGGAAUUCGGUCGUGAUACU
rfam:Serratia sp. ATCC 39006 ctg2, whole genome shotgun sequence.